CUAGAUCAUGGAACAGGGACUUGACAAGUUUUAGGUUUAGAUUCUGCCUCUCCAUUGACUUCUGCUGAUCUCAGGAUGUUACAGAUCUGCACAUGUAUGGAAACUUGAUCAUCCGUUUCCUCAGGGCUGUCCUGCAGGGAAAGGAUUGCAUUCCAGUGAUUCAUAGAACAAAACUGAAGAUCUUUUCAUGUAAUGGAUAUGAG
rnacentral:lncRNA from 1 species